AUGCAAGUCGAACGAGAGAAUUGCUAGCUUGCUAAUAAUUCUCUAGUGGCGCACGGGUGAGUAACACGUGAGUAACCUGCCCCCGAGAGCGGGAUAGCCCUGGGAAACUGGGAUUAAUACCGCAUAGAAUCGCAAGAUUAAAGCAGCAAUGCGCUUGGGGAUGGGCUCGCGGCCUAUUAGUUAGUUGGUGAGGUAACGGCCCACCAAACCUACGAUGGAUAGGGGUUCUGAGAGGAAGGUCCCCACAUUGGAACUGAGAUACGGCCCAGACUCC
rnacentral:rRNA from 1 species